UACGUAGGGCGCAAGCGUUGUCCGGAAUUAUUGGGCGUAAAGAGCUCGUAGGCGGUUUGUCGCGUCUGCUGUGAAAUCUCAAGGCUCAACCUUGAGCUUGCAGUGGGUACGGGCAGACUAGAGUGUGGUAGGGGAGACUGGAAUUCCUGGUGUAGCGGUGGAAUGCGCAGAUAUCAGGAGGAACACCAAUAGCGAAGGCAGCUCGCUGGGACGGUAUUGACGCUAAGGGCGCGAAAAGCGUGGGGGAGCAAACAGG
rnacentral:rRNA from 1 species